rnacentral:rRNA from 1 species
AAUUGGAGGGCAAGUCUGGUGCCAGCAGCCGCGGUAAUUCCAGCUCCAAUAGCGUAUAUUAAAGUUGUUGCAGUUAAAAAGCUCGUAGUUGAAUUUCGGGAUUGACACAUCGGUCGUGCCUUAAGGGGUAUGAACUGGUGUAGUCAAUUUCUCACCUUCUGGAGAACCGCGAUGCCCUUAAUUGGGUGUCGCGGGGAACCAGGACCUUUACUUUGAAAAAAUUAGAGUGUUUAAAGCAGGCAUUUUGCUUGAAUACAUUAGCAUGGAAUAAUAAAAUAGGACGGCAUGAUUCUAUUUUGUUGGUUUCUAGGAUCACCGUAAUGAUUAAUAGGGAUAGUUGGGGGCAUUAGUAUUCAAUUGUCAGAGGUGAAAUUCUUGGAUUUAUUGAAGACUAACUACUGCGAAAGCAUUUGCCAAGGAUGUUUUCAUUAAUCAAGAACGAAAGUUAGGGGAUCGAAGACGAUCAGAUACCGUCGUAGUCUUAACCAUAAACUAUGCCGACUAGGAAUCAGACGAUGUUAAUUUUUUAAUGACUCGUUUGGCACCUUACGGGAAACCAAAGUGU